UACGGAGGGGGCAAGCGUUGUUCGGAAUUACUGGGCGUAAAGGGCGCGCAGGCGGCUGCUCAAGUCAGGCGUGAAAGGCCUGGGCUCAACCCGGGAAUUGCGCUUGAGACUGGGCUGGCUUGAGUGCGGGAGAGGAUGGUGGAAUUCCCGGUGUAGCGGUGGAAUGCGUAGAGAUCGGGAAGAACAUCAGUGGCGAAGGCGGCCUGCUGGGCUGUUGCUGACGCUGAGACGCGAAAGCGUGGGGAGCGAACAGG
rnacentral:rRNA from 1 species